rnacentral:rRNA from 1 species
UACGGGGGGAGCAAACGUUGUUCGGAAUCACUGGGCGUAAAGGGCGCGUAGGCGGCCAGAUAAGUGGGGUGUUAAAUCUCCCGGCUCAACCGGGAACCUGCACCUCAUACUGCCUGGCUUGAGUACAGCAGAGGAGACUGGAAUUCCCGGUGUAGCGGUGAAAUGCGUAGAUAUCAAGUGGAACACCAGUGGCGAAGGCGAGUCCCUGGACAAUACCUGACACUGAGGCACGAAAGCUAGGGGAGCAAACAGG